UACGUAGGGUGCAAGCGUUAAUCGGAAUUACUGGGCGUAAAGCGUGCGCAGGCGGUUUUGUAAGUCUGUCGUGAAAUCCCCGGGCUCAACCUGGGAAUUGCGAUGGAGACUGCAAGGCUAGAAUCUGGCAGAGGGGGGUAGAAUUCCACGUGUAGCAGUGAAAUGCGUAGAGAUGUGGAGGAACACCGAUGGCGAAGGCAGCCCCCUGGGUCAAGAUUGACGCUCAUGCACGAAAGACGUGGGGAG
rnacentral:rRNA from 1 species